AUAGGUGAUGCUGAGAAAGGCAAGAAGACUUUUGUUGAGGAGUGUGUCCAGUGCCACACCAUGGAAAAGGGAGGCUAGCACAAGACUGCGUCAAAUCUUCACGGUAUCUUUGGGCAGAAGACAGAUCAGGAUGCUGGAUUCUCUUACACAGAUGCCAAUAAGAAUAAAGGUACCACCUAGGGAGAGGAUGAUGUACUCACUGAUGGAGUAUUUGGAGAAUCCCAAGAAGUAUAUCCCUGGAACAAAAAUGAGCUUCACCAGCAUUAAGAAGAAAGGCAGAAAGGGUAGGCUUGAUAGCUUAUCUCAAAAAAGCUGCUAUGG
rnacentral:lncRNA from 1 species